GCCCACGUAACCCAAUUGGUAUGAGGUAUCUCGCUUAGAACGAGAGUCGUGCAGGUUCGAAUCCAGCCGUGGGUACCA
rnacentral:tRNA from 1 species